UUACCAGGCCUUGACAUGCAGAGAACUUUCCAGAGAUGGAUUGGUGCCUUCGGGAACUCUGACACAGGUGCUGCAUGGCUGUCGUCAGCUCGUGUCGUGAGAUGUUGGGUUAAGUCCCGUAACGAGCGCAACCCUUGUCCUUAGUUACCAGCACGUUAUGGUGGGCACUCUAAGGAGACUGCCGGUGCAAACCGGAGGAAGGUGGGGAUGACGUCAAGUCGUCAUGGCCCUUACGGCCUGGGCUACACACGUGCUACAAUGGUCGGUACAAAGGGUUGCCAAGCCGCGAGGUGGAGCUAAUCCCAUAAAACCGAUCGUAGUCCGGAUCGCAGUCUGCAACUCGACUGCGUGAAGUCGGAAUCGCUAGUAAUCGUGAAUCAGAAUGUCACGGUGAAUACGUUCCCGGGCCUU
rnacentral:rRNA from 1 species